UACAGAGGGGGCAAGCGUUGUUCGGAAUUACUGGGCGUAAAGGGCGCGUAGGCGCCUUCUAAGUCGAACGUGAAAUCCCUGGGCUCAACCCAGGAACUGCGUCCGAUACUGGAAGGCUUGAAUCCGGGAGAGGGAUGCGGAAUUCCUGAGUGUAGCGGUGGAAUGCGCAGAUAUCAGGAGGAACACCAGUAGGCGAAGGCAGCUC
rnacentral:rRNA from 1 species